rnacentral:rRNA from 1 species
AGGGGCAGCAUGGUCUUAGCUUGCUAAGGCCGAUGGCGACCGGCGCACGGGUGAGUAACACGUAUCCAACCUGCCGUCUACUCUUGGACAGCCUUCUGAAAGGAAGAUUAAUACAAGAUGGCAUCAUGAGUCCGCAUGUUCACAUGAUUAAAGGUAUUCCGGUAGACGAUGGGGAUGCGUUCCAUUAGAUAGUAGGCGGGGUAACGGCCCACCUAGUCUUCGAUGGAUAGGGGUUCUGAGAGGAAGGUCCCCCACAUUGGAACUGAGACACGGUCCAAACUCCUACGGGAGGCAGCAGUGAGGAAUAUUGGUCAAUGGGCGCAGGCCUGAACCAGCCAAGUAGCGUGAAGGAUGACUGCCCUAUGGGUUGUAAACUUCUUUUAUAAAGGAAUAAAGUCGGGUAUGGAUACCCGUUUGCAUGUACUUUAUGAAUAAGGAUCGGCUAACUCCGUGCCAGCAGCCGCGGUAAUACGGAGGAUCCGAGCGUUAUCCGGAUUUAUUGGGUUUAAAGGGAGCGUAGAUGGAUGUUUAAGUCAGUUGUGAAAGUUUGCGGCUCAACCGUAAAAUUGCAGUUGAUACUGGAUAUCUUGAGUGCAGUUGAGGCAGGCGGAAUUCGUGGUGUAGCGGUGAAAUGCUUAGAUAUCACGAAGAACUCCGAUUGCGAAGGCAGCCUGCUAAGCUGCAACUGAC